AUUGAACGCUGGCGGCAGGCCUAACACAUGCAAGUCGAGCGGAUGAAGGGAGCUUGCUCCUGGAUUCAGCGGCGGACGGGUGAGUAAUGCCUAGGAAUCUGCCUGGUAGUGGGGGAUAACGUCCGGAAACGGGCGCUAAUACCGCAUACGUCCUGAGGGAGAAAGUGGGGGAUCUUCGGACCUCACGCUAUCAGAUGAGCCUAGGUCGGAUUAGCUAGUUGGUGGGGUAAAGGCCUACCAAGGCGACGAUCCGUAACUGGUCUGAGAGGAUGAUCAGUCACACUAGAACUGAGACACGGUCCAGACUCCUACGGGAGGCAGCAGUGGGGAAUAUUGGACAAUGGGCGAAAGCCUGAUCCAGCCAUGCCGCGUGGGUGAAGAAGGUCUUCGGAUUGUAAAGCACUUUAAGUUGGGAGGAAGGGCAGUAAGUUAAUACCUUGCUGUUUUGACGUUACCAACAGAAUAAGCACCGGCUAACUUCGU
rnacentral:rRNA from 1 species